rnacentral:rRNA from 1 species
AUUGAACGCUGGCGGCAGGCUUAACACAUGCAAGUCGAGCGAGCGGCGGACGGGUGAGUAAUGUCUGGGAAACUGCCUGAUGGAUGGGGAUAACUACUGGAAACGGUAGCUAAUACCGCAUACCAUCAGAUGUGCCCAGGUGGGAUUAGCUAGUAGGUGGGGUAAUGGCACACCAAGGCGACGAUGCCCAGCAGGUCUGAGAGGGUGACCAGCCACACUGUGACUGAGACACGGUCCAGACUCCUACGGGAGGCAGCAGUAGGGAAUAUUGGACAAUGGGCGCAAGCCUGAUGCAGCCAUGCCGCGUGAGUGAAGAAGGCCUUCGGGUUGUAAAGCACUUUCAGCGGGGAGGCGUUACUCACAGAAGAAGCACCGGCUAACUCCGUGCCAGCAGCCGCGGUAAUAC